rnacentral:rRNA from 1 species
UGGGGAAUCUUGCGCAAUGGGCGAAAGCCUGACGCAGCCAUGCCGCGUGUAUGAUGAAGGUCUUAGGAUUGUAAAAUACUUUCACCGGUGAAGAUAAUGACUGUAGCCGGAGAAGAAGCCCCGGCUAACUUCGUGCCAGCAGCCGCGGUAAUACGAAGGGGGCUAGCGUUGCUCGGAAUUACUGGGCGUAAAGGGAGCGUAGGCGGACAUUUAAGUCAGGGGUGAAAUCCCAGAGCUCAACUCUGGAACUGCCUUUGAUACUGGGUGUCUUGAGUGUGAGAGAGGUAUGUGGAACUCCGAGUGUAGAGGUGAAAUUCGUAGAUAUUCGGAAGAACACCAGUGGCGAAGGCGACAUACUGGCUCAUUACUGACGCUGAGGCUCGAAAGCGUGGGGAGCAAACAGGAUUAGAUACCCUGGUAGUCCACGCCGUAAACGAUGAUUGCUAGUUGUCGGGAUGUUUACAUCUCGGUGACGCAGCUAACGCAUUAAGCAAUCCGCCUGGGGAGUACGGUCGCAAGAUUA